rnacentral:tRNA from 1 species
GCUGUGUUGAUGUAACGGCUAGCAUAAGGGACUGUGGAUCCCUUCGUCUGGGUUCGAAUCCCAGGCACGGCC